rnacentral:rRNA from 1 species
AUUGAACGCUGGCGGCAUGCCUUACACAUGCAAGUCGAACGGUAACGGGCCUUCGGGUGCCGACGAGUGGCGAACGGGUGAGUAAUGUAUCGGAACGUACCAUUGAGUGGGGGAUAACGUAGCGAAAGUUACGCUAAUACCGCAUAUUCUCUCCGGAGGAAAGCAGGGGCACGCAAGGACUUGAGCUCUUUGAGCGGCCGAUAUCAGAUUAGCUAGUUGGAGGGGUAAAAGCUCACCAAGGCGACGAUCUGUAGCGGGUCUGAGAGGAUGAUCCGCCACACUGGAACUGAGACACGGUCCAGACUCCUACGGGAGGCAGCAGUGGGGAAUUUUGGACAAUGGGGGCAACCCUGAUCCAGCCAUGCCGCGUGAGUGAAGAAGGCCUUCGGGUUGUAAAGCUCUUUCAGCCGGGAAGAAAUCGCAUGGGCUAAUACCCCGUGCGGAUGACGGUACCGGAAUAAGAAGCACCGGCUAACUACGUGCCAGCCGCCGCGGAAACAC